UACGUAGGGGGCAAGGCGUUGUCCGGAAUCAUUGGGCGUAAAGAGCUUGUAGGCGGUCCGGUAAGUCCGCUGUGAAAGUCGGGGGCUCAACCCUCGGAUGCCGGUGGAUACUGUCGGGCUUGAGUACGGAAGAGGCGAGUGGAAUUCCUGGUGUAGCGGUGAAAUGCGCAGAUAUCAGGAGGAACACCAAUUGCGAAGGCAGCUCGCUGGGACGUUACUGACGCUGAGACGCGAAAGCGUGGGGAGCAAACAGG
rnacentral:rRNA from 1 species